rnacentral:rRNA from 1 species
GACGGAGGGGGCUAGCGUUGUUCGGAAUUACUGGGCGUAAAGAGUGCGUAGGCGGUUUAGUAAGUUGGAAGUGAAAGCCCGAGGCUUAACCUCGGAACUGCUUUCAAAACUACUAAUCUAGAGUGUAGGUAGGGGAUGAUGGAAUUCCUAGUGUAGAGGUGAAAUUCUUAGAUAUUAGGAGGAACACCGGUGGCGAAGGCGAUCAUCUAGGCUACAACUGACGCUGGAGGCACGAAAGCGUGGGGAGCAAACAGG